rnacentral:rRNA from 1 species
GAUUUCUGGCUUGGUGUGUCUGGCCCGCCGAGAUUACUCGUGUGAGUGCUGGUUCACGCCUGCCAUUCUUCCAGAGAACGUAACUGCCCUUUACUGGGUGUGUUACGCAAUCUGGAUCUUUUACUUUGAAAAAAUUAGAGUGUUUCAAGCAGGCUUUAUGCUAUGAAUACAUUAGCAUGGAAUAAUAAUUUAGGACUUCGGUUCUAUUUUGUUGGUUUCUAGGACUGAAGUAAUGAUUGAUAGGGAUAGUUGGGGGUGCUAGUAUUCAGCGGCCAGAGGUGAAAUUCUCGGAUUCGCUGAAGACUAACUUAUGCGAAAGCAUU